GACGAACGCUGGCGGCGUGCUUAACACAUGCAAGUCGAACGGAAAGGCCAUGCUUUUGUGGGGUGCUCGAGUGGCGAACGGGUGAGUAACACGUGAGUAACCUGCCCUUGACUUUGGGAUAACUUCAGGAAACUGGGGCUAAUACCGGAUAGGAGCUCCUGCUGCAUGGUGGGGGUUGGAAAGUUUCGGCGGUUGGGGAUGGACUCGCGGCUUAUCAGCUUGUUGGUGGGGUAGUGGCUUACCAAGGCUUUGACGGGUAGCCGGCCUGAGAGGGUGACCGGCCACAUUGGGACUGAGAUACGGCCCAGACUCGUACGGGAGGCAGAAGUGGGGAAUAUUACACAAUGGGCGGAAGCCUGAUGCGGCAACGCCGCGUGCGGGAUGACAGCCUUCGGGUUGUAAACCGCUUUCGCCUGUGACGAGGCGUGAGUGACGGUAAUGUGUAAAGAAGCACCGGCUAACUACGUA
rnacentral:rRNA from 1 species